rnacentral:tRNA from 1 species
GGAGAGGUGCCAGAGUGGUUGAAUGGAGCUGACUGCUAAUCAGUUGACCUGUUUAGGCGGGUCCUCGGGUUCGAAUCCCGGCCUCUCCG